rnacentral:sRNA from 2 species
UGAGAUCCCUUUAGGCUCAAACAGAUAAUGCAUUGAAUGAUAAAAACAUUGCUUUUUAUAUUCUGAUGCAGAUAGUCAGUGAGUAUAUCGCGCUACUUCAGGAUGAUGUAGAUCCGAAGAACGCUACAGAAGAGAGGCAUUGUUGCUGGCAAAUAGAAGAAGUAUCGGGUUUUGUUACCCCUGAAAAACGAAGCCCC